CAAUAGCGUAUAUUUAAGUUGCUGCAGUUAAAAAGCUCGUAGUUGGAUUUCGGGUGGGAAUGGCCGGUCCGCCGUUUCGGUGUGCACUUGCUACGCCCACCUUGCUGCCGGGGACGUGCUCUUGAGUUCACGCUCGGGACACGGAGUCGGCGAGGUUACUUUGAGUAAAUUAGAGUGUUCAAAGCAGGCCUACGCUCUGAAUACAUUAGCAUGGAAUAACACGAUAGGACUCUGGCCUAUCUUGUUGGUCUGUAGGACCGGAGUAAUGAUUAAGAGGGACAGUCGGGGGCAUUCGUAUUUCAUUGUCAGAGGUGAAAUUCUUGGAUUUAUGAAAGACGAACUACUGCGAAAGCAUUUGCCAUGGAUGUUUUCAUUGA
rnacentral:rRNA from 1 species